UACGAGUGCCCCAAGCGUUAUCCGGAAUUAUUGGGCGUAAAGGGUGUGUAGGUGGUCUUGUUAGUCUUCUGUUAAAGCUCUCGGCUUAACCGGGAACGUGUAGAGGAAACGGCAGGACUAGAGGAUGCGAGAGGUGUGCGGAACUCAUGGUGUAGGGGUGAAAUCCGUUGAUAUCAUGGGGAACACCGAAAGCGAAGGCAGCACACUGGCGCACUCCUGACACUGAAACACGAAAGCGUGGGUAGCGAAUGGG
rnacentral:rRNA from 1 species